rnacentral:rRNA from 1 species
AGAGUUUGAUCCUGGCUCAGGAUGAACGCUAGCGGCAGGCUUAAUACAUGCAAGUCGAGGGGCAGCAGGACUGUAGCAAUACAGUUGCUGGCGACCGGCAAACGGGUGCGGAACACGUACGCAACCUUCCUUUAAGUGAGGGAUAGCCCAGGGAAACUUGGAUUAAUACCUCGUAAUAUUUGAGAGUGGCAUCACUUUUUAAUUAUAGCUCCGGCGCUUAAAGAUGGGCGUGCGACUGAUUAGGUAGUUGGCGGGGUAACGGCCCACCAAGCCUGCGAUCAGUAACUGGUGUGAGAGCACGACCAGUCACACGGGCACUGAGACACGGGCCCGACUCCUACGGGAGGCAGC